UAGGGAAUCUUCGGCAAUGGACGGAAGUCUGACCGAGCAACGCCGCGUGAGUGAAGAAGGUUUUCGGAUCGUAAAGCUCUGUUGUUAGAGAAGAACGUUGGUAGGAGUGGAAAAUCUACCAAGUGACGGUAACUAACCAGAAAGGGACGGCUAACUACGUGCCAGCAGCCGCGGUAAUACGUAGGUCCCGAGCGUUGUCCGGAUUUAUUGGGCGUAAAGCGAGCGCAGGCGGUUCUUUAAGUCUGAAGUUAAAGGCAGUGGCUUAACCAUUGUACGCUUUGGAAACUGGAGGACUUGAGUGCAGAAGGGGAGAGUGGAAUUCCAUGUGUAGCGGUGAAAUGCGUAGAUAUAUGGAGGAACACCGGUGGCGAAAGCGGCUCUCUGGUCUGUAACUGACGCUGAGGCUCGAAAGCGUGGGGAGCAAACAGGAUUAGAUACCCUGGUAGUCCACGCCGUAAACGAUGAGUGCUAGGUGUUAGGCCCUUUCCGGGGCUUUAGUGCCGCAGCUAACGCAUUUAAGCACUCCGCCUGGGGAGUACGACCGCAAGGUUG
rnacentral:rRNA from 1 species